UUGACCUCAAAUCAGGUAGGACUACCCGCUGAACUUAAGCAUAUCAAUAAGCGGAGGAAAAGAAACUAACAAGGAUUCCCCUAGUAACUGCGAGUGAACCGGGAAAAGCUCAAAUUUUGAAUCUGGCGGUCUUCAGGCCGUCCGAGUUGUAAUCUAGAGAAGCGUCUUCCGCGCUGGAC
rnacentral:rRNA from 1 species